rnacentral:rRNA from 1 species
CAGCAGAGAAAAGCGAAAUUAAAGCUUGACUCUGAGGCGGGAAAGCGUAAUAUGCACACCCCGCGCCGCUGAGAAAAGCGAAGCGGCACUGCUCUUUAACAAUUUAUCAGACAAUCUGUGUGGGCACUCAAAGUGACAUGGAUUCUUAACGUCGCAAGACGAAAAAUGAAUACCAAGUCUCUGAGUGAACAUACGUAAUUCAUUACGAAGUUUAAUUCACGAGCAUCAAACUUAAAUUGAAGAGUUUGAUCAUGGCUCAGAUUGAACGCUGGCGGCAGGCCUAACACAUGCAAGUCGAGCGGUAGCACAGAGAGCUUGCUCUCGGGUGACGAGCGGCGGACGGGUGAGUAAUGUCUGGGAAACUGCCUGAUGGAGGGGGAUAACUACUGGAAACGGUAGCUAAUACCGCAUAACGUCGCAAGACCAAAGAGGGGGACCUUCGGGCCUCUUGCCAUCAGAUGUGCCCAGAUGGGAUUAGCUAGUAGGUGGGGUAACGGCUCACCUAGGCGACGAUCCCUAGCUGGUCUGAGAGGAUGACCAGCCACACUGGAACUGAGACACGGUCCAGACUCCUACGGGAGGCAGCAGUGGGGAAUAUUGCACAAUGGGCGAAAGCCUGAUGCAGCCAUGCCGCGUGUAUGAAGAAGGCCUUCGGGUUGUAAAGUACUUUCAGCGGGGAGGAAGGCGAUAAGGUUAAUAACCUUGUCGAUUGACGUUACCCGCAGAAGAAGCACCGGCUAACUCCGUGCCAGCAGCCGCGGUAAUACGGAGGGUGCAAGCGUUAAUCGGAAUUACUGGGCGUAAAGCGCACGCAGGCGGUCUGUCAAGUCGGAUGUGAAAUCCCCGGGCUCAACCUGGGA